rnacentral:rRNA from 1 species
GACGAACGCUGGCGGCGUGCUUAACACAUGCAAGUGGAGCGACGAACCGGGCUUCGGCCCGGGGCAGAGCCGCGAACGGGUGAGUAACACGUGGGUUACCUGCCCCGAUGACUGGGACAACCCGGGGAAACCCGGGCUAAUACCGGAUAUGCCCUUCGGGGGAAAGGAAGCUUCGGCCUCCGCAUCGGGAUGGGCCCGCGGCCCAUUCGCCUGUUGGUGGGGUAAUGGCCCACCAAGGCUGCGAUGGGUAGCUGGUCUGAGAGGACGAUCAGCCACACUGGGACUGAGACACGGCCCAGACUCCUACGGGAGGCAGCAGUGGGGAAUCUUGCGCAAUGCGCGAAAGCGUGACGCAGCAACGCCGCGUGGGGGAAGACGGCCUUCGGGUUGUAAACCCCUUUCAGUUGGGACGAAGCUCCGCCGGUGAACAGCCGGCCGGAGUGACGGUACCUUCAGAAGAAGCCCCGGCUAACUACGUGCCAGCAGCCGCCGUAAGAC